rnacentral:rRNA from 1 species
CCUACGGGGGGCAGCAGUAGGGAAUCUUCCACAAUGGACGAAAGUCUGAUGGAGCAACGCCGCGUGAGUGAAGAAGGGUUUCGGCUCGUAAAGCUCUGUUGGUAGUGAAGAAAGAUAGAGGUAGUAACUGGCCUUUAUUUGACGGUAAUUACUUAGAAAGUCACGGCUAACUACGUGCCAGCAGCCGCGGUAAUACGUAGGUGGCAAGCGUUUUCCGGAUUUAUUGGGCGUAAAGCGAGUGCAGGCGGUUCAAUAAGUUUUGUUUGAAAACCCUCUGCUCCACCCGGGGAUU